GUAGGUGAACCUGCGGAAGGAUCAUUACUGUGAUAUACUUUCCACACUGCGUGCGCGUAACAAACCCCUAAACAUGAAUAACCCAGUCAAGAAUCCAUAAGAAUAAAACUUUCAACAACGGAUCUCUUGGUUCUC
rnacentral:misc_RNA from 1 species